AACAGGAUUAGAUACCCUGGUAGUCCACGCCGUAAACGAUGUCGACUUGGAGGUUGUUCCCUUGAGGAGUGGCUUCCGGAGCUAACGCGUUAAGUCGACCGCCUGGGGAGUACGGCCGCAAGGUUAAAACUCAAAUGAAUUGACGGGGGCCCGCACAAGCGGUGGAGCAUGUGGUUUAAUUCGAUGCAACGCGAAGAACCUUACCUACUCUUGACAUCCACGGAAUUCGGCAGAGAUGCCUUAGUGCCUUCGGGAACCGUGAGACAGGUGCUGCAUGGCUGUCGUCAGCUCGUGUUGUGAAAUGUUGGGUUAAGUCCCGCAACGAGCGCAACCCUUAUCCUUUGUUGCCAGCGAUUCGGUCGGGAACUCAAAGGAGACUGCCGGUGAUAAACCGGAGGAAGGUGGGGAUGACGUCAAGUCAUCAUGGCCCUUACGAGUAGGGCUACACACGUGCUACAAUGGCGCAUACAAAGAGAAGCGACCUCGCGAGAGCAAGCGGACCUCAUAAAGUGCGUCGUAGUCCGGAUCGGAGUCUGCAACUCGACUCCGUGAAGUCGGAAUCGCUAGUAAUCGUGGAUCAGAAUGCCACGGUGAAUACGUUCCCGGGCCUUGUACACACCGCCCGUCACACCAUGGGAGUGGGUUGCAAAAGAAGUAGGUAGCUUAACCUUCGGGAGGGCGUUUACCACUUUGUGAUUCAUGACUGGGGUGAAGUCGUAACAAGGUAACC
rnacentral:rRNA from 1 species